UAAACUAGGAUUAGAUACCCUAUUAUUAUAAAUUUAAAUUUAAAAUACUAAAUUAGUAUUAGUUAUUUUCUUGAAAAUUAAAAAAUUUGGCGGUAUUUUAGUCUUUUCAGAGGAACCUGUCCUGUAAUUGAUAGUCCACGAUUAUAUAUACUUGAAUUUUAAGUUUACAUAUCGUUGUAGAUUGAAUAUUUUAAUAGAAUUUAAAUGUUCAGAAUUUUUUAUUAAAAAAUAAAUCAGAUCAAGGUGUAGUUUAUAUUUAAGAAGAGGUGGGUUACAUUAAAAUUAUUUUAGGAUAAUUUUUUUAAAAAAAAUUUGAAUUUGGAUUUGAUAGUAAUUUAAUAUAUUUAUUUUUAAUGAUUAUAGCUCUAAAAUAUGUACACAUCGCCCGUCGCUCUUAA
rnacentral:rRNA from 1 species